rnacentral:rRNA from 1 species
AUGCCGGGAGGGACGACUCUUGCCACCGUCGGUGAGCUCAUCGACCAUGACAACGGGACGUGGCGGCGGGAAUUGAUCUACAAUGUUUUCAUUCGACCGGACGCCGACGCCAUAUUGAAUAUCCCCUUGCGCCGCGGUGGGGGUGAUGAUUUUCGAGCUUGGGUUUUUGAAAGAAGCGGCAACUACUCCGUAAAAUCUGCGUACCGUGCUCUCGUGACUCGGAAAGAGCGGCUAGCUCAAGAGGAAGGGGCGGUUACAAACUCCUCACAGACCGAUGAACGGAUGUGGAAGUCGCUUUGGAAGCUCAAGGUUUUGCCGAAGGUACGUGUAUUCUGGUGGCGGGUUAUUCGUCGCAUUCUUCCAGAUGAGUGCACGCUUCGGUAUCGUCAUAUCAAACCUAUAAGCAGAUGCAAUGUCUGCCAUGCAAUGGAUGAGGAUCUCAUGCACGCCUUAGUGCAUUGCUCUCAUGCCAAACUUUUCUGGGAGCAGGCUCACGGUCUCUUUGGCGUUCGACGGCCGCGGCUGCACCCUGAUACAUGGUCUCGUGAUAUCAUAUGUGAUGAUCAAUUCACGGACACUGAAAGGGCCCAAAUGAUCUCUGUUAUGUGGGCAAUCUGGCACUCGAGAAAUCGAGUGACUCAUGAUGAUGACCAGCUGGAGCCUUUCACUUCAGUGAGGCGGAUUCGGGAGGACUUGGCAUUGCUGGAUAUCCCGCAUUCUCAUGCUGCAGUGCUACCAAGUCAUGGUUGGAGACCGCCGGACUCAUGGGUGGUUAAGAUCAACACGGAUGCAGCUUUGAGUAUGGAUUCCGACAAGGUGGGUGUGGGUGGUGUAGCACGUUCUAACACAACCUUGUUGGGUGCUUGGAGUAAACCUCAUAUUGGGGUCACAGAUCCUUUUAUCGGUGAGACGCUCGCGCUUCGAGAUGGAAUUAUUUUUGCAAAUCUACGGGGCUUCUCACAUGUGAUAAUGGAAACGAAUUGCCUGGAGAUUGUUAAUCUCUGGAACACUCGCCACAACAGCCUCCCUGUGGUGGCACCUUUACUUGUCGAAAUUGGAGAGCUAGCUGCUACUUUUUCUUCUUUUGUUAUUCAACAUGUAAUGCGAGUAGCCAAUGUACUGGCCCACCUUUGUGCGAAACAUGCAUGUACACUGGUGGUCACCGAGAGUUGGACUGACUCGAGACCCUCUUUCCUGCUCACCAGCCUUUUGGCUGAUGAUGCCAGGAGCUCGUUCGUUGAAUAA